rnacentral:tRNA from 1 species
AUUCAUUUAGUAUAAAAAGUAUAUAAAGCUUCCAACUUUAAGGUUUAAUUAUUAAAUGAAUA